CGCUCUGCCUCGUUCCAGCGGAGUGAUCCUGAGUGGCUUGACCUCUUCCUCCCUGGACCUCAAAUCCCUCUUCUUUCAAACAGGGAGAACAUAAUCGCCAGGAUGGAGUAAAGAGGAAUAAACAAGAUCAUAAGUUCAGGGACACCUGGGUGGCUCAGUGGUUGAGCAUCUGCCUUUGGCUCAGGUCGUGAUCCCCAGGAUCGAGUCCCACAUCAGGUUCCUGUUGCUCUAAGAAGGACCCUCCCCCAAUCUUCGGUCUGACCUAGGAAGCAUUUGGAGGUCAGUGCCCAGUGCGGGCUGACCUCGCUCCACGCCAGCACAAUCUGCGCUGCUCCAUCUGCCUCUUCGCCCCCACGGUGCCGCAGUCUGACAGCGAGGGAGGGGACAUGCAAAUACGCCCUAAAAACGGCUUGUUAUUUUCACGGCCUGGAUGGUGCGGCGUUUGUGGGUGCCUGUGAAGACAGCACGUCACUGUCAGUCUUUAAUGGGCACCUACAAUGCACCUCAUCCAGGUGUCUUCAGCGCAAAUGUCUCCAGCGGGAGCCAAGCCCAGUAAGGUAAAGGAAGGCAGCUUGUGGUAACAAAAGCAAAACCAGCAUUGUAAACAAAAUCAAGAACAAUAAGGAGGCGCAGGACCUGUGGCAAACUGGAGGGAGGAAAGAGGUGAGGUGGGACUCUGCCUUCCAUGUAGCUAUUGCCAGGCCCGCACGGGGUACAAUGUGACCA